GCCAGUGUGGUGCAAUGGUUUGGACAGUGGACUAUGACUUUGAAGAUCAGGGUUCAAUUCCCCACUCUGCCA